ACCGUACUCCAAACCGACACAGGUGAUCAGGUAGAGAAUACCAAGGCGCUUGAGAGAACUCGGGUGAAGGAACUAGGCAAAAUGGCACCGUAACUUCGGGAGAAGGUGCACCGCUUUUGGUGAUGGGAUUUACUCCCUAAGCUGAGGGCGGUCGAAGAUACCAGGCCCCUGCAACUGUUUAUUAAAAACACAGCACUCUGCAAACACGUAAGUGGACGUAUAGGGUGUGACGCCUGCCCGGUGCCGGAAGGUUAAUUGAUGGGGUUAGCGCAAGCGAAGCUCUUGAUCGAAGCCCCGGUAAACGGCGGCCGUAACAAUAACGGUCCUAAGGUAGCGAAAUUCCUUGUCGGGUAAGUUCCGACCUGCACGAAUGGCGUAAUGAUGGGGGCGCUGUCUCCACCCGAGACUCAGUGAAAUUGAAAUCGCGGUUAAGAUGCCGUGUUCCCGCGGCUAGACGGAAAGACCCCGUGAACCUUUACUAUAGCUUUGCACUGAACUUUGAACCUAUCUGUGUAGGAUAGGUGGGAGGCUUUGAAGUUGGGACGCUAGUCCUAAUGGAGCCGUCCUUGAAAUACCACCCUGGUAUGUUUGAGGUUCUAACGUAGACCCCUAAUCGGGGUUGCGGACAGUGUAUGGUGGGUAGUUUGACUGGGGCGGUCUCCUCCCAAAGAGUAACGGAGGAGCACGAAGGUGUGCUAAUCAUGGUCGGAAAUCAUGAGGUUAGUGUAAAGGCAAAAGCACGCUUGACUGCGAGACAGACAUGUCGAGCAGGUACGAAAGUAGGUCUUAGUGAUCCGGUGGUUCUGUAUGGAAGGGCCAUCGCUCAACGGAUAAAAGGUACUCCGGGGAUAACAGGCUGAUACCGCCCAAGAGUUCACAUCGACGGCGGUGUUUGGCACCUCGAUGUCGGCUCAUCACAUCCUGGGGCUGAAGCCGGUCCCAAGGGUAUGGCUGUUCGCCAUUUAAAGUGGUACGCGAGCUGGGUUUAGAACGUCGUGAGACAGUUCGGUCCCUAUCUGCCGUGGGCGUUGGAGAUUUGAGAAGAGUUGUUCCUAGUACGAGAGGACCGGAAUGAACGAACCUCUGGUGUUCGGGUUGUCAUGCCAAUGGCACUGCCCGGUAGCUAUGUUCGGACGGGAUAACCGCUGAAAGCAUCUAAGCGGGAAGCCUCCUUCAAGAUGAGAUCUCCCUGGGACUUUAAGUCCCCUAAAGAGCCGUUGAAGACUACGACGUUGAUAGGUUGGGUGUGGAAGCGCAGCGAUGCGUUGAGCUAACCAAUACUAAUUGCUCGUGCGGCUUGACCAA
rnacentral:rRNA from 1 species